rnacentral:rRNA from 1 species
GACGUAGGGCGCGAGCGUUGUCCGGGUUUAUUGGGCGUAAAGAGCUCGUAGGCGGCUCGUUGCGUCAACCGUGAAAACCCGGGGCUUAACUUCGGGCUUGCGGUUGAUACGGGCGGGCUGGAGUUCGGUAGGGGAGACUGGAAUUCCUGGUGUAGCGGUGAAAUGCGCAGAUAUCGGGAGGAACACCUAUGGCGAAGGCAGCUCGCUGGGACGUUACUGACGCUGAGACGCGAAAGCGUGGGGAGCAAACAGG